GGCGGGAGCAGGAUGGCAGGAUGGCAGGACUCCCGUUGGGCAGCACAGCAAGCCUGAGGGCGGAGCAUCGGGGAUCUGCUCAGCUGCGGGUCUUCAAGUGCAGUUCAAAACUCAGCGUGAUCAGCACCACUAACUAGACCAAUUUAUGAGACGUUCACCCCAACGGCUUCGGCAGUGGCAGGGAAGCAGCGGAGGACAAAAAAACUAAUCUAUCUGUCCCUCGCCGCCGUCCCUCCCUCCCUGCAAGGCGCCAGCUUAUUUAUCCGGCCAGUGCAGCAACCCAGUCCUCGAUGAUUAAACCUCCUCCUCCUCCUCCUCCUCCUCCUCCUCCUCCUCCUCCUCCUCCUCCUCCUCCUCCUGCUGUUCUUCCUGCCCCUCCUACUGCAGGUACUCGUGUGUGUGUGUGUGUGUGUGUGUGUGUGUGUGUGUGUGUGUGUGUGUGUGUGUGUGUGUGUGUGUGUGUGUGUGUGUGUGUGUGUGUAUGUGUGUGUGUGUGUGUGUGUGUGUGUGUGUGUGUGUGUGUGUGUGUGUGUGUGUGUGUGUGUGUGUGUGUGAUCAAUAAAA